AUAAUACUCCCUCCGUCCAAAACUUUUUGUCUUAGUUUAUCUAGAAAUGAAUGUAUCUAAAUACUAAUACAUGACUAGAUGCAUUAAUAUCGAGAAAAAUUAAAGACAAGAAUUUUGGGACGGAGGGAGUAUGAG
rfam:Hordeum vulgare subsp. vulgare, WGS project CAJW01000000 data, contig: morex_contig_58657